rnacentral:rRNA from 1 species
CGGCGGACGGGUGAGUAACGCGUGGGUAACCCGACCUCAUACAGGGGGAUAACAGUUGGAAACGGCUGCUAAUACCGCAUAAGCGCACAGUACCGCAUGGUACCGUGUGAAAAACUCCGGUGGUAUGAGAUGGACCCGCGUCUGAUUAGCUAGUUGGUGGGGUAACGGCCUACCAAGCGACGAUCAGUAGCCGACCUGAGAGGGUGACCGGCCACAUUGGGACUGAGACACGGCCCAA